ACGGGUGCGGAACACGUACACAACCUUCCUAUAAGUGGGGGAUAGCCCAUAGAAAUGUGGAUUAAUACCCCGUACGAUAAUGAAGUGGCAUCACUUUAUUAUUAAAGCUACGGCGCUUAUUGAUGGGUGUGCGUCUGAUUAGAUAGUUGGCGGGGUAAAGGCCCACCAAGUCUGCGAUCAGUAGCUGAUGUGAGAGCAUGAUCAGCCACACGGGCACUGAGACACGGGCCCGACUCCUACGGGAGGCAGCAGUAAGGAAUAUUGGUCAAUGGACGCAAGUCUGAACCAGCCAUGCCACGUGAAGGAUUAAGGUCCUCUGGAUUGUAAACUUCUUUUAUAGGGGGCGAAAAAAGGUCUUUCUAGAUCACUUGACAGUACCCUAUGAAUAAGCACCGGCUAACUCCGUGCCAGCAGCCGCGGUAAUACGGAGGGUGCAAGCGUUAUCCGGAUUCACUGGGUUUAAAGGGUGCGUAGGCGGGCAGUUAAGUCAGUGGUGAAAUCCUGGAGCUCAACUCCGGAACUGCCAUUGAUACUAUCUGUCUUGAAUAUGGUGGAGGUAAGCGGAAUAUGUCAUGUA
rnacentral:rRNA from 1 species